CCCAGACUCCUACGGGAGGCAGCAGUGAGGAAUAUUGGUCAAUGGCCGGAAGGCUGAACCAGCCAAGCCGCGUGAAGGACGAAGGUGCCAAGCAUUGUAAACUUCUUUUGUCAAGGGACAAAAUCAGGCUCGAGAGCCUGACCGAGGGUACUUGAAGAAAAAGCAUCGGCUAACUCCGUGCCAGCAGCCGCGGUAAUACGGAGGAUGCGAGCGUUAUCCGGAUUUAUUGGGUUUAAAGGGUGCGUAGGCGGAUUUUUAAGUCAGCGGUAAAAUGUCCGGGCUCAACCCGGGCCGGCCGUUGAAACUGGGGAUUUUGAGUGGGCGAGAAGUAUGCGGAAUGCGUGGUGUAGCGGUGAAAUGCAUAGAUAUCACGCAGAACUCCGAUUGCGAAGGCAGCAUACCGGCGCCCGACUGACGCUGAGGCACGAAAGCGUGGGGAUCGAACAGGAUUAGAUCCCCUAGUA
rnacentral:rRNA from 1 species